rnacentral:rRNA from 2 species
UGGGGGAUAUUGCACAAUGGGCGAAAGCCUGAUGCAGCAACGCCGCGUGAGGGAUGACGGUUUUCGGAUUGUAAACCUCUGUCUUUGGUGACGAAAACAAUGACGGUAGCCAAGGAGGAAGCCACGGCUAACUACGUGCCAGCAGCCGCGGUAAUACGUAGGUGGCAAGCGUUGUCCGGAAUUACUGGGUGUAAAGGGAGCGCAGGCGGGAAGGCAAGUCAGCGGUGAAAUCCAUGGGCUUAACCCAUGAACUGCCGUUGAAACUGUCUUUCUUGAGUGGAGUAGAGGCAGGCGGAAUUCCGAGUGUAGCGGUGAAAUGCGUAGAUAUUCGGAGGAACACCAGUGGCGAAGGCGGCCUGCUGGGCUCUAACUGACGCUGAGGCUCGAAAGUGUGGGGAGCAAACAGG